rnacentral:rRNA from 1 species
UACGGAGGGGGCUAGCGUUGUUCGGAAUUACUGGGCGUAAAGCGCGUGUAGGCUGCUUGGAAAGUCGGAUGUGAAAGCCCUGGGCUCAACCCAGGAAGUGCAUUCGAAACUUCCGAGCUCGAGUUCUGGAGAGGAUAGCGGAAUUCUCGGUGUAGAGGUGAAAUUCGUAGAUAUCGAGAGGAACACCGGUGGCGAAGGCGGCUAUCUGGACAGAAACUGACGCUGAGACGCGAAAGCGUGGGGAGCAAACAGG